UACAGAGGGUGCGAGCGUUGUCCGGAAUCACUGGGCGUAAAGGGCGCGUAGGUGGUGGCUUAAGCGUACGGUGAAAGCUCGGAGCUCAACUCCGAGUCGGCCGUGCGAACUGGGCUCACUGGAGCAUAGUAGAGGCAGGUGGAAUUCCGGGUGUAGCGGUGGAAUGCGUAGAGAUCCGGAAGAACACCGGUGGCGAAGGCGGCCUGCUGGGCUAUGGCUGACACUGAGGCGCGACAGCGUGGGGAGCAAACAGG
rnacentral:rRNA from 1 species